UACGUAGGGUGCAGGCGUUAAUCGGAAUUACUGGGCGUAAAGCGUGCGCAGGCGGUUUCUUAAGUCAGAUGUGAAGGCCCCGGGCUUAACCUGGGAACUGCGUUUGAAACUGGGAGACUUGAGUGUGGCAGAGGGGGGUGGAAUUCCACGUGUAGCAGUGAAAUGCGUAGAUAUGUGGAGGAACACCGAUGGCGAAGGCAGCCCCCUGGGUUAACACUGACGCUCAUGCACGAAAGCGUGGGGAGCAAACAGG
rnacentral:rRNA from 1 species